CCCAUACACUUGCAGUCGAAGCUUCCUUCUGUGCAAGUGUACGUUGCGAGUUUAGGAUUAUCGCGUGACGUCCCAUGUUUGCACAUCGCCAGUUUUAGGGUGAUAGCAUUUCCUGCUGGCGCUACUAUGUGUGCACCUACUCCGAGCACGAUUGGAGUGCAGUCCCGAUUGUGAGCAACUGCGUUCAACGCUGCUUUUAUUGCCUCAUUGUGGAUUUCAAAACUGCGCGACAUGGGGAACGCGGAGCUGGCGCUACUGUACCGGUGGGCUGGAUGUCGAUCUCGCAGCAUUGCUCGAUCGCCAUGCAAUAAGUAGCGAAUGUGCUGCGCUCAUGGCAGUACUUGUGAUCUGAAAUUAACGUGCGAUUGAGGGAAGUAACGUGAUACUACCCAACAUCCACGCUACGUGAAGGUCGCUGCGAACUUGACAAAACUCCUGGGAGACGUUAACACGGGCAGCUUGGCCGUCGGAGAGAAUGGUCGGGCUCCCAGUGGAGGAUGCCAAGCCAAGAUUACUCUCCAUUUUAAAGUCUUGCAGAGGGAGCUGCUGUAACAGUUAUAGCCUGACCUAAAAUAAUCCUUAGUGGCCUCGUGCAUAGACCUUUGUUCAGAUAUUGAUCUACAAUUUACUUCGGAUUUUCCAUUUUUUUUUUUUUGCGCAAUCCAUUUAUUAUGAACUUAUCCACGAUCAUUCUCUGCAUGUAGCGUAGGAUUGCUGGACAACAUUUGCCGUGACGUCGUUUGUUUCCAGUGGCAUUGUGAAACAGAACUUCGUGCAUGGAGCGGGCAUACUGUCUAGGAAUCAGCAAGUGGUAUAAGAAAUAGUGAAGAAACUCGUAAUGAGGGUUACGAGGAUUUCUACUCUACCUUUGGCCACUCUUGACCGAUCUGAGGAUUCGAAAAGUCAGAACAUCAUGAUAGAUUAAAAAAGCGCAGUCGUAUUGUGAUUGGUCAAUAGAGGAAAUGCAUUGUAUCCUACCAAGGACCAAGGAAAAGAAAGAAAUGACUGUAAUGUGGUGGCAGUGCUGUCAUUAGAUUCCUAAUUA